UACGUAGGGUGCGAGCGUUGUCCGGAAUUAUUGGGCGUAAAGGGCUCGUAGGUGGCCAACUAAGUCAGACGUGAAAUCCCUCAGCUUAACUGGGGAACUGCGUCUGAUACUGGAUGGCUUGAGAUUGGGAGAGGGAUGCGGAAUUCCAGGUGUAGCGGUGAAAUGCGUAGAGAUGUGGAGGAAUACCGAUGGCGAAGGCAGCCCCCUGGGCCAAUACUGACGCUCAUGCACGAAAGCGUGGGGAGCAAACAGG
rnacentral:rRNA from 1 species